AGUGAACGCUGGCGGCGUGCCUAAUACAUGCAAGUCGAACGGAGAGGCGCACGGGUGAGUAAUAUAUAGCUAAUCUGCCCCUUGCUGGAGGACAACAGUUAGAAAUGACUGCUAAUACCCCACAGCAAGGGAUGAGACGAUAUCGUAUCAGCUAGUCGGUGGGGUAACGGCCUACCGAGGCUAGGACGCGUAACUGGUCUGCGAGGAUGAGCAGUCAAAUUGGAACUGAGACACAGUGGAGAAUCUUCCGGGAGGGAGCAGAAGGUAAUAGUGCGCAAUGGGGGGAACCCUGACGGAGCACCGGCGCGUAAAGGAUGACAAUUGUCGGGGAGGAAACUCCUUUUAUUAGGGAAGCGGUACCUAACGAAUAAGCACCGGCUAACUCCGUGCCAGCAGCCGCGGUAAUAC
rnacentral:rRNA from 1 species